UCCCUGCUGGUUCAGUGGUUAGGACUCGGUGCUUUCAUUGCCAACGGCCUGGGUUUGAUCCCCAGGCAGGGAA